AAUGUACAACAUUUUCUAUUUGGAUACAGAACAUCUGGGGCUAUGCUGACUUUCCUGCCUUCUGCCACAACCUAGUCAGAAGAGAUAUGGAUCAUCUGAACCUCCUGCGGAACAUUAUACUGGUCUAUUAUUUUGAGGACAUCAUGCCACUUAGACCACUGACAUGAGAAAUGCAAAGGAGAGAAUUUGCUGGCUGGGAUAAACUUGAUUUCCUAGGCCAAGGAGGGCUAGGAAGAAUCCAUGAAAGCCCAGAUAUUGAAGGACAUUGGAGGUGAAACAAUCCAACCACCUCACUUUACAAAUUAGGAAGCAGAUCUGGAGAGGGAAAAGGAGCUCUGUGUCAGCUUUUAUGUGGAAAUGAUUAAGAAAGAAGUGAUUGUAUUCACGUUAAAAUUAAGUGGUGUCCUCAUUAAAACUUCGUCUCUUAGGGAAGACCAGGCCUAGGUGGGGAGACUUGCAUUUACUGAAUCCCUAUUAUAUGCCAUGGAUUCCACAUUCAUUAUUUCCUCUAAUUAACUGAUUAAUCUUCACAAAAUCCUAGGAGGCAGAUACCAUCACACCUAUUAAUUAAGAAGUUUAGUAGCCUGCACAGGGCCAGAUUAAUAAUUAGUACCUCCUGGCAUCAAACCCUGAUUUCUGACUGUAAAUGUCACGUUCAGACAACAGCAUUGCACUGGCUCCAGAAAUGGAGCAGUUAAAGAUCACUGAAGCCAAGAACAAUGAAAUCUUAUUUUCAUUUUAAUACGCUGUUUCCACUUCUUUUUCAUUUUUAGUGAGUUAAAAACAUCAAAGAUCGAAUGAUGGCUGGUCCCAAGUUCAUAAAAGCUUAAAUUUCUGUUUGAAUCAAUAAAACGCUGACGUAAAUACCAGCAAAACACUCAGGAGAGACAUUUCCAAACCUCCUCACCACCUCCUGGGUCAGAGUCACCCCCCCCCGCCCCCCACCAGUGUCUCCCUGUGUGAAAUGAGGGUGUUCUGUUCCUCCUGGGUCUUCAAGUUUCCCUGUAGCUCUAAAGCCAAACCAAACCAAACAAAAAAAAUAACCGCAACAGGCCUGAGCAUUUCUUUUCUUUUCUUUAUUUGCUGUUGAAGUUUACAUGCAAAUCUUUUGAACUUCCAGAAAUAGGUACACCAAUGGGGGAGUCGGGGGGCAGACUCACUGAAAUAGGGACCCAGAGCAUACACAGGAAGCACAGACGCUUCAGAAGAGCAAGUCACCUCUGCCCUCCUGCCUGUGGUGGUUUAGGUUAAUUGGCUUAUGCGGGCCGGCCGCACAGUCCACACGGGGCCUGGAUGUACUGCUGUAGCACACUCAAAACUCAGGCACUGCCUGGGAAGGAAUGAAGUUAGAGCCAACUACCUGAUUUUUCUCUGAAUGAAGUCAUUGGCUUUUCCUUGCACAUCUCUCUCUCUCUCUCUCUUAUGCUUCCUAUGUACCAGGCACAGUUCUAAGUACUUUACAUAUAUUGAUUUAUUUAAUCAUUAUUACAGCCCUGAGAAGGGCUGUCCUCAUUGGAUAGAUGAACAGCUUGAUACACAAAAAUGUUUAAUAAAUAUCUUUGGGCACACGGGAAAUACAUUUUGGGGCCAGUGCUUGAACCCAAGUAACUGGCUCAGGAGUCCCUGCUCAUAACCACGGUGCUACUCAGUUACCAGUUAAAGUCAUAAAUUGCACCCACUUUGCUUCCUGCUUCCCGGUCUUGGCUCAUUUGUUUACAAAGAUCACUAAAAAUGUUUGGCUCAAACCGAAGCACCUUAAUCAGCUUCUAAGUCCAUAAGACAGCUGCAGUGAAACUGCUAGUUCCUAACAACACUAGUUGCUUUGGACUGCUCAGCGUCACACUUGUGCUCCUAUUUUAUUGACUCAUUUACUCUUCAUUUCCAGAUUCCAGCUCAUCGGUAGCCUUCCAACCCUCCAUAUGCCAGCCACACCUGAUGCCUUGCUGCAUCUGCCUGCCUCUGUGCUUUGCCCGUGCUCUUCCUACUGUCUGUAAUGCUCUUUUCCUUCCCUUCUAUACUUUAGGAACAUAUUCCAUCUUUCUGGCCCUACCAUUCUAGACAUCAAGUAGGAACUUUAUAAUGACUUAAUUCUAUGUCCUUAACCCCCUCUAGUUGACUUCUCCUGAGGAAUAUAACAAUGUUUAUGCUGCUAUGUGUCAUUUUCCAUAAGAUAACACAAUAAAAACACUGUUAACUUAUAAAUACUUUACAAAAAAAAAUUAAAUGUGAUCUGUUAUCUGGUAUUUAUGUAUCUAGUAUUUAAAACAUUAAUAGUUCUUUUUAGGGGAGAGUUGUCCUGAGUUGAGUUCAUAAUCCUCCUACUUUUACUCUAAAACCUUUAACCAGAAAAGUGAAACUAUGCACUAUAAAGGCAAUAUAUGAA